UGUGGACCGACUUGCCAAGAAGUCAUGCCCCACUCCCUCCAGCAAACGGGAAAAGGGAUUCAAGAUGUAUAUCGCCAGCUACAUCGAUAAUUACGAGGAUGGUGUUAAAGCACUCAAAACCUGUUGUUUUGGUGAGCAGCCAUUGUUCCUGUGUGGCGGGCUGUGCCUUAUGCAAUCAUUUGGUUGCACUUCUUUAUCAGACUGCCCAUUAUUCGCAGCUAAACAUUCCUGCUGUUCCCCCGGUGCACAGCUGCACAGACACCGAGCAGAUCUGGCAUAAACCAAGGACACUGGGUGUUAGGCCAGGCACAGUUGGAGAAAUGGAGUUUUGAAAACCCAGAAAUUCAACAACAGACUGUGUAAGAAGUUCUCUCUACAAGGCGCUGGAUGGGGAACUGCCGGAUCUUGGUGUACAAAGACUUUCCCCCUUCAGGGGGCGUGCUGUCAUUUCAGCAUAAACCACUAGCAAUGAGGGAAGUCAUCAACAUCCCAUCUGCCCUUGCCUUACCCUCCCCCUUCCCAUCCACAGCUACAGGC